rnacentral:siRNA from 1 species
CAUCUGCACAAGUAUUCUGCU